ACAUCCUCUCUCUUUAUGCUGCCAAAGUGGCUGCCUACGCCCGUGACGACAAGCGGCUAGAGAUCAGACUUGACAAGGAGGCCGAGGACCACG
rnacentral:miRNA from 1 species